AGAGUUUGAUCCUGGCUCAGGACGAACGCUGGCGGCGUGCUUAACACAUGCAAGUCGAGCGGGGAUAAGAGCUUCGGUUCUUAUUCUAGCGGCGGACGGGUGAGUAACGCGUGAACAAUCUGUCCCAGACAGGGGGAUAACAGAUGGAAACAUCUGCUAAUACCGCAUAAGACCACGACCUGGCAUCGGGUUGAGGUAAAAGGAGCAAUCCGGUUUGGGGUGAGUUCGCGUCCGAUUAGCUAGUUGGUGAGGUAACGGCCCACCAAGGCAACGAUCGGUAGCCGACCUGAGAGGGUGAUCGGCCACAUUGGAACUGAGACACGGUCCAAACUCCUACGGGAGGCAGCAGUGGGGAAUAUUGGGCAAUGGGCGAAAGCCUGACCCAGCAACGCCGCGUGAGGGAAGAAGGUUCUCGGAUUGUAAACCUCUGUCCUUGGUGACGAAGGAAGUGACGGUAGCCAAGGAGGAAGCCCCGGCUAACUACGUGCCAGCAGCCGCGGUAAUACGUAGGGGGCAAGCGUUGUCCGGAAUGACUAGGCAUAAAGGGCGUGUAGGCGGCCGAUUAAGUCUGGAGUGAAAGUCCUGCUUUCAAGGUGGGAAUUGCUUUGGAGACUGGUUGGCUUGAGUGCGGAAGAAGUAAGUGGAAUUCCCAGUGUAGCGGUGAAAUGCGUAGAGAUUGGGAGGAACACCAGUGGCGAAGGCGACUUACUGGGCCGUAACUGACGCUGAGGCGCGAAAGCGUGGGGAGCAAACAGGAUUAGAUACCCUGGUAGUCCACGCCGUAAACGAUGAGUACUAGCUGUCGGAGGUUACCCCCUUCGGUGGCGCAGCUAACGCAUUAAGUACUCCGCCUGGGAAGUACGCUCGCAAGAGUGAAACUCAAAGGAAUUGACGGGGACCCGCACAAGUAGCGGAGCAUGUGGUUUAAUUCGAAGCAACGCGAAGAACCUUACCUAAGCUUGACAUCCUUUUGACCUCUCCCUAAUCGGAGAUUUCCCUUCGGGGACAGAAGUGACAGGUGGUGCAUGGUUGUCGUCAGCUCGUGUCGUGAGAUGUUGGGUUAAGUCCCGCAACGAGCGCAACCCUUGCCUUUAGUUGCCAGCAUUAAGUUGGGCACUCUAGAGGGACUGCCAGGGAUAACCUGGAGGAAGGUGGGGAUGACGUCAAAUCAUCAUGCCCCUUAUGCUUAGGGCUACACACGUGCUACAAUGGGUGGUACAGAGGGCAGCCAAGUCGUGAGGCGGAGCUAAUCCCUUAAAGCCAUUCUCAGUUCGGAUUGUAGGCUGAAACUCGCCUACAUGAAGCUGGAGUUACUAGUAAUCGCAGAUCAGAAUGCUGCGGUGAAUGCGUUCCCGGGUCUUGCACACACCGCCCGUCA
rnacentral:rRNA from 1 species